AACGGCCGUACCAUGCUGAAUAUACCGGUUCUCGUUAAAUCACCGAAGUCAAGCAUCAUUGGGCUCGGUCAGUACUUGGGUGGGUGACCAUCUGGGAACACUGCGUGCCGUU
rnacentral:rRNA from 1 species